AGCGAACGCUGGCGGCAGGCCUAAUACAUGCAAGUCGAACGGCUCUUCGGAGCAGUGGCGGACGGGUGAGUAACGCGUGGGAAUGUGCCCUUAGGUACGGAACAACACAGGGAAACUUGUGCUAUACCGUAUGUGCCCUUCGGGGGAAAGAUUUAUCGCCUUUGGAGCAGCCCGCGUUGGAUUAGGUAGUUGGUGAGGUAAAGGCACACCACGCCGACGAUCCAUAGCUGGGCUGAGAGGAUGGCCGGCCACACUGGGACUGAGACACGGCCCAGACUCCUACGGGAGGCAGCAGUAGGGAAUCUUUCGCAAUGGGCGAAAGCCUGACGCAGCCAUGCCGCGUGUAUGAUGAAGGUCUUAGGAUUGUAAAAUACUUUCACCGGGGAAGAUAAUGACGGUACCCGGAGAAGAAGCCCCGGCUAACUUCGUGCCAGCAGCCGCGGUAAAAC
rnacentral:rRNA from 1 species